CUGAGUAACGCGUAGGAACGUACCCCAAAGUGAGGGAUAACUGCUCGAAAGGUUAGCUAAUACCGCAUAACACUUCAGCCGGCAUCGGCAGAAGUUGAAAGCAGCAAUGCUCUCGAGGACGGGACCGCGUCCGAUUAGUUAGUUGGUGGGGUAAUGGCCUACCAAGACUCCGAUCGGUAGCUGGUUUGAGAGAACGACCAGCCACACUGGGACUGAGAACGGCCCAG
rnacentral:rRNA from 1 species